AACUGUGGGAAAGAACCAUCUCACCUAGUCAUGUUAAGGUCGGGCCAUGUACUCAUGCAGCAUUACAAUGGACAAUUUUAUUAUUUUAAAAUGUUUAAUUUAAUCUUUAUUUAAACUAGGAUAGCUCAGGCCUUUUUGAUAAAGUGUACAGAGUUGAACAGGUCUGUUGGGCUACACUGUCAUGUCCUUGGCAAAGACUUACCAUGGGGUUCAUUGUUUCAGCCUGAAAUGGGAGAGCCUCACUUUUGGAGUCUGAACUCGAGGCCUGAAAACGAGCUCUCGGCUUUGGCUGCAACACACAGAUGCAAUACAUGGACCUUUUCUUUUACCAGGGCAAAGGCGAUGACAUCACAGAGGAUGCAGGUCUUUCUUUCUGCAUAGCCAAACUGGAGGAACUGCUGCUUGGUCAGGACGGGUUUGUAGUGGAAAAGAUCCCGCAGUACCUAGAUGCCAGGCGAAGCAGUGACUGGGCGCCAGCAAGAGGGUCUCGCUCUUCCUUCUCCCUCUCCUCUCGCCAAAAUGAACCGAUGCUGUGAGAGGCAGAUAGUGCUGAAGCCGCAGGCGAGCUAAGAGAACAGAAGAGGGGAUUCUGAUCCGAGAUGAGAACUUGGACCAACAUGGAGUUCCUGUGUUCACCGCAGGAAUCAGGAUUUCAUGUGAGCCUUUAUAAAAUAAUUGCUCAAGGACGCUGUGCUGCCAACCACCGGUAGCCAGAUGGAAGGAAACACCACCAGAGUGUGUUAAAUACAGAUGCUGCAGAUCAGGGCCCGCUCAGUGAAAACCCUUCUGGUUCUGAUAGCAGGGUUAACAGAGGCUAUAGUACAGCCUCAACAAAAAGACUGAAAAACCCCUGAUGCAUGUACACAAGUCAUUCCUUCCAAGUCCUCAGUUGGUUGUGAUGAGAGAGGAGCUGUAAUAUUAGAACGUGAGAUGAAGGAAAUGGCUUAGCCUUGACCUGACCAAGCACAAUAUCAUGAAAAAGGGAAUUCCGACAGUGGGACAUUUCCCAUAGAUAGGAAUGAAUGGAAUUUCUAGACUACUUUAAGACUCCAUUCAUGUCAUUUGAGCACCACAGGAAUGAAAAGGAAUCCCACAUGUAGCCUACCUUUAACCUCUACAGGGGAAAUCCUGCACUGUUUCAAAAGGACUUUAUUGGUAGUGAGUGAUGCAAUAGCAAUGUCUUCCAUGUGUGUGUAUUAGGGGAAAAUAUUGCAGUUCAGCUCAAGCUUGGAGGGGUUAAACCACAGCAGAGCGUCUGGGUAGACAGCCAUUGGCCUCAGGAGACCCCAAGGAAUAAACUGAAGUCACAGUG